AAUGGCUGGUACCAAAGCUGCCCACCGUCCAGGCCCAGGCCUGGCCUGUGUGGUGGUGAUGGGCGUACUGGGUCAGAAAAUUUCUGCUAGUCAUGAGCAGCCGUCGUCACCAUGAAGGAUUUUAGUACUUUUCUGGAUUAUGAGAAGAUACAAGAAUUGGGCUCUUGAAAUCGGCUCCUGAAAAUACCUAACUCCCAGCACAGAGUGCCUCAUUUCUGCUCUCUACCCUGAGCGCCUUUCAGGGAUUGACGGUCAGCAACUACAGCAGCAUGUGACUUAAUCCUUGUAUAGUGUGUAUAUUUGGAGAAGGAAAUGGCAACCCGCUCCAGUGUUCUUGCCUGGAGAAUCCCAGGGACGGGGAAGCCUGGUGGGAUGCUGUCUAUGGGGUCACACAGAG
ensembl:lncRNA